GACUACAUGGCCUAAUGGAUAAGGCGCUGGUCUAUGCAACCAGAGAUUUUGGGUUCGAUCCCUAGUGGAGUUG
rfam:Lupinus angustifolius cultivar Tanjil chromosome LG18, whole genome shotgun sequence.